CACACAGCCUUCACUGAUUUGACACACACAUUCACUGACACACACUCAUUCAUUGACAGAGAGACACACACUAAUAGUCACACACACACACUAAAUGACAGACUCUCACUUAUUUGACAGAAACUUACAAUAACGUAUGCACAUACAUGCAAUUGCAAACAUACACAUGCAUACACUAACAGAAGCACAUACACUCACAUACACACGUACAAACGCUAACAGACAUAAAUACACU